ACAGCAAAGGAAGGUCUCUGUGGAAUUGCAAUGCAAGCAUCUUACCCCACUGCAUAAAAUUAAUUACAAAUAAAGGCAAUCCCCACUAAUCUGUGGUUAAUUAAUUACAAGACGUGGGCUUAUAAUUUCUAAUCUAUAGUUGUGUAAAAUUCAGCAAGGACCUCCUGUAGUCAAAAGAGUCCAUAGAAUUAUGUAUGGACCAUAAUAUAUAAAUAUGAACGUACACCUUCAGCUGGUUCUUUCCUACUUCUGUGUUUUGAAUGAGAAAGGAGGGGGAGUUCUCAUGCUAAGAGUAGCAGACUGAACAAAAAAAGGAAUAAGGAUGGAAAAUGACACCUCAAAAGAAAAAAAAAUGUUGACAUUGCAAUAGCCAUGCAUUCAUAAUAGAGCCAACUUGAUUAGUACAGGGAAUCUAUAUCAAUCAAAAUUGCUAUCAGGAUAUGGGUAUCAAAAGUCUUGAACAUCUUUCUCAGGCUAACUUAUUCAUCGGGGAGGCCAUCCAAUUGAUAUAUAACUGAUGGAAACCUUUUAUUACAUGAACCCAUUGAACCAACUUUAUAUUAAUUCAAUUCAAGCCUGUUCCUUUAAUUCAUCAAUCCUAGCUGUUGCCUGUGGCUUUGAAGUCUUAUUUUGCAGAUUAUACAUGACCCACUCAUUGCAUGCUCCAUGCCCAAAUUAUGAUACAUAUCCAUCAUUUUGAUAUAGCAGGUCAUAGAAUGUCACAUUUUUUUGGACUUAGUACCACAAGGCCAGAACAAGUCUCCAAUAAUAUGGCACUAGGUGCAUCUUACCUCCAGGCUUUAAUGUAUGGCUAACUUCAUUAAACUCCAGUCUAGAAUCUUUUGUCAUCAUGCAAUAUACCAUUUUGGAGCGCUAUAAAAAAGUUCCCUUUUCUGCUAAAAUGGCCGAGGAAAAACUUCAGUCCUAAAUCUUCUCCUUGGUUCUCCAUGAAAGAGCUUCAGCAAUGGAGAAGACAACUUGCUUUCUGUUAUUGCAAGAAGAUGGUUUUAUGUACAGAUUUGUUUAACAACUAGACUAACAAGCUACAGGUGUAACCAUUCAACUAAUCAAGAUAUCAUUUUGGUGGGGAGUCCGUUAAGCAACUGCUGAUCUAGUUAGGUUCUUGAUGUUUAUCAUCCCCUUGCAAGCUCAUUGGGCGUGGGACUAUUGAUAAUUUGGAACUAAACGUGAAGAACAGUGAACUUGGAAGAUGUUUUGUGAAAAUAUUAGCUACCUGACUUGUGGAAGUAAUGUAUUGUAUGAUCAGAUCUUUUUGAAGGACUUUGUCAUGAAUGAAGUGUAAGUAUAGUUCAAUGUGUUUGGAGCGUGCAUGAAGUACGGGAUUGGCAGCUAAGGUAGCUGCACUUUGAUUGUCACACCAAACUAGAGGAGGAAGAACUUGAGGUAUGCACAACUCCUUCAAAAUUGAUUGUACCCAAGUUAUCUCAGCUGUAAGAGAUGCAAGACCUCGCCAUUCCAAUCCUGAACUACUUCAGGAGACUACCUUUUGUUUAGUGGAGGACCAUGAGACCAAGUCGGGUCCUAGGAAGAGACAAUAUCCACCAGUGCUGUGGCGAUCAUCAAGACAAGAUGCCUAAUAUGCAUUAGUAUACCCUUGAAUAUCAAGGGAGGAAGAAACAUGUAGUAGCGAGGGUGUGCCUUUCAGAUAGCGAAGGAUUCUCUUGACUGCACACCAGUGAGUUGAGCCAUAAAUUGGCGAGCUUUGUUAACAACAAAGGAUAGGUCCGGUCUUGUGAGAGUUACAUAUUGAAGGGCCCCAAUCAUGCUUCUGUAUAGAGUAGGAUCAGGAAGAGGAUCUCCAUAAACCAUAAGAGUUGUUUACCCAGAGCACCCGGGGUGAUAACUGAUUUAGCAUCAAGCAAAUUGGUUCUUUUGAGAAGGUCCUGAAUAUACUUCCAUUGGUUGAGAUGGAGGGAAUUUAGUCAAUGAGUGCUUCAACACCCAAAAAAUAACUGAGAGUGCCAAGGUCCCGAAGUGCAAAUGUGUUGCUUAGGUGAGAAAUGAAGGAAUUUACUGGAGAGGUAUCACUACCGGUGAUGAGAAUGUCAUCUACAUAGAUUAAAAGAAAUAGAAUUUCUGUAUCUAUGUGCCGGAAAAACAAAGAGCUGUCAGCCCGGAAGCAUUGAAAUCCCAAUUCAAUUAGAGAGUUACUUAAUUUGGUGAACCAAGCUCUGGGGGCUUGUUCGAGGCCAUAGAGGACUUUGUGAAGACAGCAUACAUGGGAUGGGAAUUGGUUAUUGAUAAACCCAGGUGGAUGGUGAAUGUAGACUUGUUCCUGAAGAUCCCUAUUAAGGAAUGCAUUCUCGAUAUCUAGUUGUCAUAUCGGUCAAUGUGAGGAUAGAGCUAGGGUGAGCAUGAUACGAAGGGUUGAGGGUUCCACCACUGGAUUGAAAAUCUAAAACUAGCCAUUAUACAACUGUUAUUGUUGACAUAUUUGAGGAACCCAUGACUUGACAACUGGUAUUGUUGACGUUUUGGUUGCCCCUUCAAGCCAUUAUACAAGAGGAAAUACAAGGCUAUAUAUCAGGAGCAUGGGGAUGGUUUGUAACCUGUAACUAACUUAUAACAAACUCCCAGCUCAAAAAUUAGCUUAUUACAACAAGAAAAACAAAAAAUACCUCAAUCAGUUUAAUAUAAGUAAAUUUCAAAGAUGAUGUGUUACACAAUUGAAUGAAUCCUAAUUUCGUUGAGACCAAAAUAUUCCAUUACUUUAAAAGCUAGGUGUUAUACAUUCCAAAAAAUUUAGCCUGAGACAGGCCGUGAUUUGGUUUCAACUCCCUUAUGAAAUCUAUGGAAUAUCGUAAUAAUACACUAAAUUCUUUUCCAAUGUUUGGGUAUUCAAUCAUCAAUUAUCCAUUGUUUUAUAUGAUGAGAAACCAUUCUCUUGUAAUUAUGGAUGACACGUUACGGUGAUGCACCAAAUAGGACAAGAACAUCCUCCUAAUAGCACGUAGUUCAAUAUUAGAGCAAUUAAUACAAAAAGAAAACAUCCUAAACUACGAAUAAUUUAGGAUUCCAGACACGAACUAGGUAGAGAUUUUUAUACAGAAGAGAACAAUUCUAGUAAUAAUUUAACCAACUAAUAUUAAACAAAGUAGCUGAUGGAGAUGGGUCCAAAUCACAACAUUUUAAUUUUCAAGGCACGUAGAUAAGCGUAUCGAAGGUUUUCCUUGGCAGUAUUAUUUGAGAUCAGUGUGUUAUGGGAGGGAAUUUUUCCUAUAUAAACCCCUGCUGCAAUCUCCGAGUGUAUCAAUCUGCUUACUCAUUUAAUUCAUCAAUCCCUACUGCUUCCAAUAUCAUGGCUUCUGUUAACCAGUACCAAUACAUCUGUUUGGCUUUGCUCUUUGUUCUGGCUGCUUGGGCAUCUCAAGCCACAGCCCGCAACCUUCAUGAGGCAUCAAUGUAUGAGAGACAUGAGGAUUGGAUGGCUCAGUAUGGGCGUGUAUAUAAGGAUGCUGACGAGAAAAGCAAGCGCUACAAGAUAUUCAAGGAUAAUGUGGCACGUAUAGAAUCUUUCAACAAGGCCAUGGACAAAUCUUACAAGCUGAGCAUCAAUGAAUUUGCAGAUCUUACCAACGAAGAGUUCGGAACCUCACGAAAUAGAUUCAAGGCCCACAUCUGCUCCACCGAAGCAACUUCUUUCAAAUACGAGAAUGUUACUGCAGUGCCAUCUACUAUUGAUUGGAGAAAGAAAGGAGCUGUUACACCCAUCAAGGACCAAGGCCAAUGCGGUAAGUGAAAAUAUUUUUGUAGUAUGGUUUGAAAUGAAUGUUUUUCUCACUUUUUUAUGAUAAAAAAAUGCAGGGUCUUGCUGGGCAUUUUCGGCUGUGGCAGCUAUGGAAGGAAUUACUCAGCUAUCGACUGGGAAGCUAAUCUCUCUUUCCGAACAAGAGCUGGUUGACUGUGACACUAGUGGGGAGGAUCAAGGCUGCAAUGGUGGUCUAAUGGACGAUGCCUUCAAAUUCAUAAAAACAAAAUCAUGGUCUCACCACCGAAGCUAACUACCCCUACGCGGGAACUGAUGGCACCUGCAACCGCAAGAAGGCAGCCCACCCUGCAGCCAAGAUAAAUGGGUAUGAAGAUGUGCCAGCCAACAAUGAGAAGGCUCUACAAAAGGCUGUUGUCCACCAACCUAUUGCCGUUGCCAUUGAUGCUGGGGGGUUUGAGUUCCAAUUCUAUUCAAGUGGUGUGUUUACAGGACAGUGUGGCACAGAACUAGACCAUGGUGUUGCUGCGGUUGGUUACGGAACCAGCGAUGAUGGGAUGAAGUAUUGGCUGGUGAAGAACUCAUGGGGCACAGGAUGGGGCGAAGAAGGUUACAUACGGAUGCAGAGGGAUGUGACUGCAAAGGAAGGUCUCUGUGGAAUUGCAAUGCAAGCAUCUUACCCCACCGCAUAAAAUUAAUUGAAAAAAGGCAAUCCCUACUAUCCUGUGGUUAAUCAAUUACAAGAUAUGUUGCGCGGAUAAUUUCUAAUCUAUGGUUGUGUAUAAUUCAGCAAGGAUCCCCUGUAGUCAAAAGAGUCCAUAAAAUUAUGUAUGGACCAUAAUAUAUAAAUAUGAACGUACGCCUUCAGUUGGUUCCUUCCUAUUUCUGUGUUUUGAAUGAGAAAUAACGGGAUCUCAUACCAAAAGUAUCAGACUAAAUAAAGAAAAAGAGCAAGGAUGGAAAAUGACACAAAAAAAAAGGAAGACAAUUUUUUGUUAACAUUGCAAUUAGCCAAAACAAUUUCUUAGCUUUAUGCAACAUACCAACACCACCACUAGCAAGCAAGAUAUCAUCAACAUAUAUAAUCGAAAAUACAAAUUUGGUCUUACCAACCUUUAGAUAAACACAACAAUCAAUGGUGUUUCUUAAUUCAAAGGAAGUUACUAUGUCAUUCAACUUAAGAUACAAUUGUUGAGAGGCUUGUUUAUGUAGGGAAUACUUGGAUUACACCAUUCACUAUCCUAAGACCGGUUAAGGUGCAUGCAAUAUUUCUUAGGGCCUUUAGAUCUUAGCAACAUAAGCAACAAAUAUAAAAAACAAUCAAGAUCUAGAAUUUUGUACUUUACCUCAGAUGUGGGUAUUUCCAGAUAUAAUCCAGUUGGUGAAGAGGAGUGUCAAAGUCGUUGUAGUUGUAGAUAUCGCAAACCCACUAAUCUUCUACCACGAUGACUCUCUUUUUGAAUCUCGGAACUAGAGGGAUGAAAUCCUCUCUCUAGGGUUGUGGAUGACCUAUUAUGGAAUGUAUACACGAAUGCUGAUAAAAAGGACAAUUGUUACACAAUAUCUAAGCAUAAUGUGGCAUAUAUAUAUAGAAACUUUUGACAAUCCCAUGGACAAAACUUCUAUGCUAAGAAUGAAUGAAUUUGUAGGUCUAACUGAUAAAGAAUUCAUAGCCUCACAAAAUAUUUCAAGGUGCACAUUUGUUUUGUAGAAGCAACUUCCUUCAAAUAGAAAGAUGUUAGUUCCAUCCACAAUUAAAUAAAGGAAAAAAUGAGUUGUUGAAAAGUUCUCUUAAUAAUUUAUUUUUAAUCAUUCAUGAAAGCAAAAGAUCAUAAUUCCAAAAAAUUUUGAAUGUCAUGAUUUUUACUAACAUAAAUAUAAUUAAGUUAUUAGACAUACCGUGAUCCAUAAUUGAAACUUUGUUUCAAAUGAGGACCUUUGAACUUCAAUCCAUGGAAAAUCGAUACCUCUCUCUUAGCCCUAUUAAUUUUUUAUACAAUAAUAAUUAAUAUCAUUAAUGAUGGAUCUAUUACUUUUAUAGGUUGAGAGAGGACUAGUUUCAUAUCAUAAACAACUUAUUUUCCAUCAAAGUAAAAUUCCAAAAGAAAAUAUUACUGUAACACACUACAAUAGACAAAUUCAUACUUAAAUAAGUUAUCAUAAAUAGUAUAGUUAAUUAGAAUAAUAAUGUGAGUCAUGGCAGUUGUUUUUUAUUUAUUGUAACACAUUUUCUUCUAUAUACAAACUAGCAAUCUAAGUAACUCAGUCUAUAAAUAUGAAGUAUUAAUAAAUGUCUACAAUUAUGUCAUUACCAUAGACUACUCCUACAUAUCAUCAUUCAUUUAAUCUCUUAUAUGGACACAAAAGGAAAGAUAAGAAACAUCAAAAUCACAUUAUUUACUUGAAAACGUCACUUUAUAAUCAUAAUGCAAAUCUACAAGUUAUUAUUUAAUAAUCACAAUAAAGACUCAUCCUUUCCAUGUAUUCCUUAAAUGUCUCUAAUGGUAAUCUUUUCAUCAAGGGAUAAGCAAUAUUCAUAAACUUUAGACUUAUGUAUUUUAUUGGUACUUUUUGUUUUUAGGCCUCCUUUUCAACAAUAAAUUAUUUCAAUUCUAUGAAUCUCACACCCUUAGAAUAUUUGUGAUUCUUGGAGAAAAAGAUAGUUAUAGAAUUAUCCAAAUAAAUUUUUAGAGGCUUGACAAUAGAGUUGACAAAUUUAAGACCUAAAAUAAUGUCCCACAACACCACAAUUCAUGAAUUGUAACCUUAAAGAAAUCGAAAAUUUUGAAUUCCAUAGUAGAUGAAGCUAUGACAAAAUAUUUCACACUUUUUCAUGAGAUUGCUUCUUUUGCUAGUUAGAGCAAAUAAAUGAAAGUGGGCUUUUUUCUAUCAAGACAUCCAGAAAAAUCUAAAUUUAAUAUCUAAUUACUCCUAGAUGAUCAAAUCUCUUAAAUUUGAGCAUGUACUCUUUCAUUCCUAGUAGAUACUUUGAUAUCUUCUUUGCAAUUUUUAAUGAUCCAUUCUUGGAUUACUUUAUCAUGAUUUGCUCGGCAUGCUUACAACAAAGCUGAUAUUUGGACUGUUGCAAGUUUGGGUAGACAUCAGACUUGCUACAACACAUAAAUAAGGGAUUCUUUCCUUUUGUUUGUAUUUUAAAUCAUUUCUUGCACAUUAUAUGAGACUAAAUUUAUCCUUUUCCAUAUUAAUGCAAUAGUUGUGAAACAAUUUUCCAUUCCAAAUCUUUCUAGGACUCUAUAUAUUAUUAUAUGCAUUAUGAGAUAAUCCUAAUAAUUCAUGUGACCUAUCCUAUAAUAUUUUAAUUCCAAUCACACAAGCUACCUUUCCCAUAUCUUUAAAAGAUUUUUAGAUGCUUAGUUACCUAGAAUGUCUCUAAAAAUUGGAAAUUUAACAUCCUAAAUUAGUUUUAAAGGAAAUAGUUUAUAAAAAUAAUAAAUCUAACAAACAACUUUUUAUUUCUCUGCUAUUUUUGUUUUAUUUUCCUAGCAACCAAACAUAGUUUAAUGAAAACACAAAAACUUAGGGAAAAUAUGGAAGUAGAAAUACCAUGGAGAUAUUGAGUUUUCUACCAUUCACGUUGUUUCAAGGUAAGUUUGAGUUCCCCUCGAUAGGAUCUUACAUUUCUCUCCAAUGAGUUUGGGGCAUAUAACUCUAAUGGGUUUAGGACAUUAGAUCCUGGGUUGUUCCCUUACAAAUUUGUAAUCACCAUGCAAUCCUAAGAGAAAGAGAUAUGAUGAGGGUUGUUCGUUUAUCUUCUCUACAAUGGUGUUGUAGUGUCCUCUAGUGGGUUUAGGGCUAUGAAAUAGUGCCCCCAUUUUAAUCAAAGGUAUGUUUGGAUUUAAUCAUAAUUAGUUAAUGUUUGGUUUUAAUAUUUUGGAGAUCAUGUUGUCAUGUCAGCUUCCAAUCAACUAUUAUAUGAAAUAUGAUGUGACAUCUUACAAUGGUAUUUUUUACCCUUACUUUUUAUAGCCUCACAUCAAUUAUGGAACUUAUAUGGAUGUUGGACUAACUAUUAGCUUCUUCUAUCCCUAAAGCAUAAUUGUCUCAAAAUUAUUCAAGUAGGUUGAUUACUUGAAGAGAUUGUGAAGGUUCAUUGAAACCUUGGAAUCCAAGUGUAAAGAGUUUGAAGACUUUGACUUUAACCUUUACUCAGCUAGGAGCUUGAAGAAAGUGGACUUAGGUGACUUGCCGAACCACUAUAAAAGCGUUUGGAUUUCUCUUCUCUCAACUUCUUUAUAUUGAUUUGUACCUUAAUUUUAUCAUAUAUUAUGGUAAAUUAUUUACAAAAAGUUUUUAACACUCAAUUCUCCCCCCUUCUUAGGUAUUUUCUCAAGUUAAUUAGCCCUUUUCACAUAAAAGAGGAGAAAAACACUAUCUAGAAAAUCAAAUAAAAAAAAGAGAAAAUCAUACAUGGAAAACUAGAAGUCAUGGUUUGGAAAAUAAAAAGAGUUGAUCUUCCACUAUUCUGACAUUUUCCCUAUUAAAAAUUAACCAUAUCAUUUAUGGAGGAAUAUGUCUUAAGUAGGAAUGGCAACGGGGCGGGUUCGGGAUGGGUCACCCCCAUCCCAACCCCGUCCCGUUUAUUAAAAACAAUACUCAUCCCUGUCCCGUUUAGUUUUUUUUUUAAUUACUUUCAAAUUUUUUAAUUACAUUAAAAUAAAUAUAUUUUAUAAAUAAUAAAAUUAUUAUAUUUUUUAUAACUUAUUUUAUUAAAUUUUUUAUUAUUAUCUAUAUAUUAAAAAUAGUAAAAUAAAAUUUUAAAUUAAAUUAAUUUUAAAAUUAAUUUUAUAUAUAAUAGGGACGGCGGGGGGGAGGGGGGGAUGAGGCAAUACCUGAACCUGCCCCGGGUUUAAAAAAAAAAUUUCAUACCCGUCCCAAACUCGUUUAUUAAAUUUAAACCCCGUCCCAUUAGGGGCGGAGCGGGACGGGUACCCGAAAAAACCCGCCUCGUUGCCAUCCCUAGCCUUAAGUAGUUGUGUUGCUACUCGUGGUAUGGGAACCAUAAUAAGCAACAUGAUGUAUUUUGGAGGUAGGCUACCAUUAUUCAUCACAAUGCACUAAGAUAUUAUCUCAUAGGGGGUGAGGUCUACUCUAUGAGCAGUGAUUACAUGUACGUCUUAAUGGAUCCUAAUAAGUUCUCUCAUUCAUAAUUUGUUCUUGUGGUUUCAUUAAUUCCACCACUCAGAUUUGGAUUUGCGACAUAUUUUGGUUUCUUACAUUUUUUGUUCUACAGAUUAUCUGCUUAUGUUCAACAGGAUUGCCUUAAUUUAAACAAUAAUUUUCAAAAAUUAAUUUGCAAUAAUCUUAGGGUAGAUCUAGAACCAUGAACGCUUCCCUAGUGCUUGUCAAACUUGGCAUAUGUAAGACCAAUUCAAUGGGUCUCAUUUUAAGAGAAAGAAGAAGUGUGCAUUCUCUACCAUUGAUGUGGUUAAUCUACACAUGUUUUGACUGAACAAAAAACUUGAUGAAACAUUUGAACGCUAUGUUGACCAAGUAAGAGGGAAUAAAUCAACAAGUUCUCCAUGCGAUCUUGAGUACCCCCUAUCAAAUAACUUACUUGAUGUUUAUUGCUCUAUUAAAAAUGCAAAAUAUAAAUGGAAAAAUUGAAUAAAAAUGUCAAAGCAUGUGAGAAUACAAAAAUAUACCAUAGGAAUUUUUGAAAUUUCCAAAUGACAGAGUAUAGAGAUAUAUCAUCUCUAAUCCAUGCAUAACAUGUCUUAAUUAGUGAUCUACAAAAUGAACACUUUGACCUACUUAAACCAUUCAUUACUAGGCAUAACAUUACUUGAGUCCUAGAAAGACUAAAAAAAAGGUAUGGAACAUUAGAGUGAACCAAUGUCUUUAGCGGACAUGAUAAUCCAUAUUACAAUUGAAGAACAAAAUAAAAACCAAGACAAUGUUGAGAAAACCAAAGAACUUAUUAGGCUAAUCUAGUAAGACAAACCCAAAAGUAAUAGGAGUACUAAUAACAAUAAGAACAACAAUAAGUCCUAAAAUAAAAAAAAUAAAAAAAAUAAGAAAAUCUAACUCAAAUUCUAUGAACAAGUCUUAGAACCCCAAAAUUUAAAAAAAAAAAAGAAAAAAGAAAAAAGAAAUUGCUUCAUGUGUGGAAAGCCUGGGCAGCAUGCAACAUAAUGCAAACAUAGGAAGAGGAAUGAAGAACCAAAACCUAAGGCCCAUUUAGCUGAGAUUUAUGUGAUAACCAUAAUAGGUCUAGGUGGUAGACUCUAGGGAUACUAGGCACAUAUGUGGAGGGGAUGGUAAUGAACAAGUAUUUAUAGGUGACUUGAGGCCUUUGCUUGUGAUCAACAAAUUAAGGGAAUGUGCUUCUCAAGGCUUGCUCAUGUUAAUUUUUUUUUAUUUAUAUUAUUAAUAAAAAUGCUUUCUACUUGUAUUGUUGGCUCACAUGAUUUAUGGUAUGUCAAGUUAGGACAUGUGCAUUAUUCUUACAAAAAGAAAAAUAGCAAACAUUAAGUUGAUACCUAAAAUUUUGUUUAGAAAAUUAUAGGAAGUGUGAAAGUUGUGUAGAAUCUAAAAAUACUAGGAAAACUUGUCAAUACAAAAGGCAAACAAAAUUCUUGAGUCUUAAUCAAAGAGACUUAUGAGAUUUAAAAGAUAUAAUGACUAGAAGUGGUAUAAGAUUUUCAUAACCUUUAUAGCAUUGUGAUAGCCAAGCUACAUACAACAACAAAGGCUAUGAGUAAAAUAUAUAAUUAAAGAAUGAACUUAUGUGCUUAACUAACAAUAUUAUGUAACAACUACUUAAGAUAUAUAUUAUAUCCCUAGAUUUUAUGAUGUUAGAUUUGAAUUUGAUUGCUCCACUACAAAGGCAACUAAAUAUAUAUUAAGGUAAUGGAAGAAACACCAAGGGCAAUGAGGUUUAUGUCUAACAUAUAGUAACCCAACCAACAUGAAUGGAGAUCUCAAGAAGUAAUUUCAUAUGGGUAAUGAUAAGUCACUUGUUGACUAUAUCAUGCACCAUUGGUUAUUUAAUUAUUUGUAAGAGUCCAUUCCUAUGAUGUAGAUGGUGUAUACUCUACAAUGGUUGACGGUAAGUGCAUUCUCUUAAUUAAUACCAUAUUCCUUAGGAAUGACCUGUUUAGUUGUAGAAUGCACUUGAUGGAUUCACCUAUACGAGAGUAGAAGCAGGACCAUUUUUCUAUAAGAACUUAGCCAAGUUCUUUAUGGCUUUUAUGACUACCUAGAAAAGUUUCAAAGCUUAUUCAUGCUAGCCUUCUUGCACAACUAUGAGUAAAUAAAGCAAUGUCGAUGGUGGCUCCUUGAUCCACAAUAAGAAUGUUUAUAGAAAAUUAAAUUUUCAUCAAAGUUUUGUGGUUCAUAACUUCUCAUUGUAAGGUAAGUUUGAUGCAUUGAGUUCUUAUGUUUCUUCGGCCAUUAUAGUACCUUUUUUUUUCUACUACCAUGCAAUGUAUGGGGGAUUGAGAGAAGGUUGCCUAAGUCUUUAUAUCCCACAUAGGAAGUGGAUGAGAAUAGGAAGUACAAAAAAUAAAAUAAAAUAAAAUAAUAUUCGUCACAGUUUUGUUGCUGAUGUAUUUCCUAAAAAUCAACAAUUGUUUCCUAAAAACAUCGAAAAUAUUUUUCACUUAAAAAUAGCAAUAUAUUAAACUCCAAUAAAAGAAAAAAACUUUCUCCUUCACAAAAAAGAAAAAAAGACCUAUAUGGAGAAUGAAAGAGUCAUAUUAUGAAAACAUAAAGAGUUGAUCGAUCUUCCACUAUUUUGCAAUCUCUCUCAUGUUUUUCUUUUUCAAGGAAUACUCUUGAGUAGUUGUAUUACUGCUUGUGAUUGGAGUUCACCAUCACAAAUAGUAGGAUGUUGUCCUUGGAGAUAGACCACCAUUGUUCCCCGUAUUACACCGGGCGAAAUCUAUUUAAAGGCAAUGGUUACCCGCCUUAACAAAUUGUGCCACAGGUUCUCUUCUUCAUAUUUUGUUUUUGCAGUUUUAUUCCACUAUUCAUGUUUGGCUUUUGAAAUUUUUAUAUUUUGGUUUCCUACAUUUAUUUGCCCCUUAUUAUUUGCUUGUGUUUGUUAGGGUUACUCUGAUUUAAAUGAUAAUUUUCAACUAUUGAUUUCCAGCAAGGGACACCUACAAGAUCCUAAGAUUUUUCUUUUGUUGUUAAAGAAAGUGAUAACGUGUGCUAAUAAUUAAUUAAGUACAUUUCAAAGAUGAUGUAUUACACAAUUGAAUGAAUCCCAAUUUAGUUGAGACAAAAAUAUUCACUUACUUUAAGCUGGGAGUUAAUAGUUAUAUAAUAUUCCAAUAAUUUUGGUCUGAUAUAGGCCGUGAUUUGCUUUCAACACCCUCUUAUGAAAUCUAUGAAAUAUCAUGAUAAUACACUAAAAUUCUUUUCUAAUGGUUGGGCAUUCAAUCAUCAAGCAUCCAUUGUUUUAUAUGAUGAGAAACCAUUCUCUUAUAUUUAUGGAUGACACGGUACGGUGAUGCACCAAAGAGGACAAGAACAUCCUCCUAAUACUACAAAUAAUUUAGGAUUCCAGACACGAACUAGCUAGAGAUUUAUAUACAUAAGAGAACAAUUCUAGUAAUAAUUUAACCAACUAAUAUUAAACAAAGUAGCUGAUGGAGAUGGGUCCAAAUCACAACAUUUUAAUUUCCAAGGCACGUAGAUAAGCGUAUUGAAGGUUUUACUUGGCAGUAUUAUUCGAGAUCAGUGUGCUAUGGGAGGGAAUUUUUCCUAUAUAAACCCCUGCUGCAAUCUCCGAGUGUAUCAAUCUGCUUACUCAUUUAAUUCAUCAAUCCCUACUGCUUCCAAUAUCAUGGCUUCUGUUAACCAGUACCAAUACAUCUGUUUGGCUUUGCUCUUCUUUCUGGCUGCUUGGGCAUCUCAAGCCACAGCCCGCAACCUUCUUGAGGCAUCAAUGUAUGAGAGACAUGAGGAUUGGAUGGCUCAGUAUGGGCGUGUAUAUAAGGAUGCUGAUGAGAAAAGCAAGCGCUACAAGAUAUUCAAGGAUAAUGUGGCACGUAUAGAAUCUUUCAACAAGGCCAUGGACAAAUCUUACAAGCUGAGCAUCAAUGAAUUUGCAGAUCUCACCAACGAAGAGUUCAGAGCCUCCCGAAAUAGAUUCAAGGCCCACAUCUGCUCCACCGAAGCAACUUCUUUCAAAUAUGAGCAUGUUGCUGCAGUGCCAUCUACUGUCGAUUGGAGAAAGAAAGGAGCUGUUACACCCAUCAAGGACCAAGGCCAAUGCGGUAAGUGAAAAUAUUUUUGUAGUAUGGUUUGAAAUUGAUGUUUUUCUCACUUUUUUACGAUAAAAAAAUGCAGGGUCUUGCUGGGCAUUUUCGGCUGUGGCAGCUAUGGAAGGAAUUACUCAGCUAUCAACUGGGAAGCUAAUCUCUCUUUCUGAACAAGAGCUGGUUGACUGUGACACUAGUGGGGAAGAUCAAGGCUGCAAUGGUGGUCUAAUGGACGAUGCCUUCAAAUUCAUAGAACAAAAUCAUGGUCUCGCCACCGAAGCUAACUACCCCUACGCGGGAACUGAUGGCACCUGCAACCGCAAGAAGGCAGCCCACCCUGCAGCCAAGAUAAAUGGGUAUGAAGAUGUGCCAGCCAACAAUGAGAAGGCUCUGCAAAAGGCUGUUGCCCACCAACCUAUUGCUGUUGCCAUUGAUGCUGGGGGGUUUGAGUUCCAAUUCUAUUCAAGUGGUGUGUUUACAGGACAGUGUGGCACAGAACUAGACCACGGUGUUGCUGCUGUUGGUUACGGAACCAGCGAUGAUGGGAUGAAGUAUUGGCUGGUGAAGAACUCAUGGGGCACAGGAUGGGGUGAAGUAGGUUACAUACGGAUGCAAAGGGAUGUGACUGCAAAGGAAGGUCUCUGUGGAAUUGCAAUGCAAGCAUCUUACCCCACCGCAUAAAAUUAAUUGAAAAAAGGCAAUCCCUACUAUCCUGUGGUUAAUCAAUUACAAGAUAUGUUGCGCUGAUAAUUUCUAGUCUAUAGUUGUGUAUAAUUCAGCAAGGAUGCCCUGUGGUCAAAAGAGUCCAUAAAAUUAUGUAUGGACCAUAAUAUAUAAAUAUGAACGUACACCUUCAGUUGGUUCCUUCCUAUUUCUGUGUUUUGAAUGAGAAAUGACAGGGGAUCUCAUACUAAAAGUAUCAGACUAAAUAAAGUAAAAGAAUAAGGAUGGAAAAUGACACCAAAAAAAGAAAGACAAUUUUUUUGUUAACAUUGCAAUACCCAAACCAAUUUCUUAGCUUUAUGCAACUCACCAAGAUCACCACUAGCAAGCAAAGAUAUCAUCAACAUACAUAGUCGAAAAUACAAAUUUGGUCUUAUAUAUACAACAAUCAACAGUGUUUCUUAAUUCAAAGGAAGUUACUAUAUCAUUCAACUUAAGAUACAAUUGUUGAGAAGCUUGUUUAUGUAGGGAAUACUUGGAUUAUUCCAUUCCCUAUCCUAGGACUAGUUAAAGUGCAUGCAAUACUUCCUAGGGCCUCUAGAUCUUAGCAACAUAAUUAGCAACAAAUAUAAAAAAACAAUCAAGAUCUAGAGUUUAGUACUUUACCUCACGUAUAUCUUGGGUGUUUCUAGAUAUAAUCUAGUUGGUGAAGAGGAGUGUCAAAGCCGUUGCAGUUGUUGUAGAUAUCAUGAACCCACUGAUCUUUUGCCACGAUGACUCUCUUUGAAUCUCAAUACUGGAGGGGUGGAAUUUUCUCUCACUAGGGUUGGUGGAUGACCUAUUAUGGAAUGUAUGCACGAAUGCUGAUAAAAAGGACGAAGGCUAGCUACACAAUAUCUAAGCAUAAUAUGGCAUAUAUAGAAACUUUUGACAAUCCCAUGGACAAACUUGCAUGCUAAGAAUUAAUGAAUUUGCAAGUCUUAUUGAUAAAAGAAUUCAUAGCCUCACAAAAUAUUUCAAAGUGCACAUUUGUUUUUUAGAACUAAUUUCUUUCAAAUACAAAGAUGUUAGUUCCAUCUAUAAUUAAAUAAGGGAAAAAAAUGAGUUGUUGUAAAGUUUUCUCUUAAUAAUUUUUUGUUAAUCAUUCAUGAAAGCAAAAAAAUCAUAAUUCCAAAAAAAAAUUGAAUAUCAUGACUUUUGCUAACAUAAAUAUAAUUAAGUUAUUAGAUAUACCUUGAUCCAUAAUUGAAACUUUGUUUCAAAUGAGGACCUUUAACAUCAAUCCAUGGAAAAUUGAUACCUCUCUCUUAGCCCUAUUAAUUUUUUUAUACAAUAAUAAUUAAUAUCAUGUAAUGAUGGAUCUAUUACUUUUAUAGGUUGAGAGAGGAUGAGUUUCAGAUCACAAACAAUUUACUUUCCAUCAAAGUAAAAUUCCAUAAGGAAACAUUACUGGAACACAAUACAAUAGACAAAUUCAUACUUAAAUAAGUUAUCAUAAAUAUUAUAGUUAAUUAGAAUACUAAUGUGAGUCAUGGCAGUUGUUUGUCAUUUACUGUAACACAUUUUCUUCUAUAUACAAACUAGCAAUCUAAGUAACUCGGUCUAUAAAUGGGAAGUAAUCAUAAAUGUCCACAAUAAUGUCUUUGUCACAUACUACUCCUAUAAUCAUUCAUUUAAUCUCUUAUAUGGACACAAAAGGGAAGAUAAGAAACAUCAAUACCACAUUAUUUACUUGAAAAUGUCACUUAAUAAUCAUAAUGCAGAUCUACAAGUUAUUAUUUAAUAAUCACAGCAAAGACUCAUCCUUUCCAUGUAUUCCUUAAAUGUCUCUGAUGGCAAUCUUUUCAUCAAUGGAUAAGCAAUCAUAAACUUCAAUUUUAUUGGUACUCUUUGUUUUUAGGCCUCCUUUUUAAUGAUAAAUUAUAUAAAUUCUAUGAAUCUCACACCCUUAGAAUAUUUGUGAUUCUUGAAGAAAAAGAUAGUCAGAAUCAUCGCAAUUAAUUUUUACAGGCUUUACAAUAGCGUUGACGAAUUUAAGUUCUAAAAUAAUGUUCCACAACACCACAUUUCAUGAAUUGUAACCUCAAAAAAAUCAAAAGAUUUGAAUUCCAUAGUAGAUGAAGCUGUGAAAAAAUAUUUCACACUUUUUCAUGAGAUUGCUCCUCUAGCUAGCUAGAGUAAAUAAACAAAAGUGGACUUUUUUCUAUCAAGACAUCUAGAAAAAUCUGAAUUUAAUAUCUAAUCACUCCUAAAUGAUCAAAUCUCUUAAAUUUGAGCAUGUACUCUUUCAUUCCUAGUAGAUACUUCAGUAGCUUCUAUACAAUUUUUAAUGAUCCAUCCUUGGAUUACUUUAUUAUUUGCUCAACAUGCUUACCACAAAGCUGAUGUUUAGAUUGUUGCAAAUUUGGGUAUACAUCAAACUUCCUACAACACAUAAAUGAGGGAUUCUUUCCAUUUGUUUGUAUUUUAAAUCAUUUCUUGCACAUCAUAUGAGACUAAACUUAUCCCUUUCUAUAUUAAUGCAAUAGUUGCGAAACAAUUUUCCAUUCCAAAUCUUUCUAGGACUCUAUAUAUUCUUACAUGCAUUUUGAGAUAAUCCUAAUAAUUCAUGUGACCUAUCCUAUAAUAUUUCAAUUCCAAUCACACAAGCUAGCUCCCCCAUAUCUUUCAAAGAUUUCACUACAAGAAAAAAGAGAAACAAUGACGUUUAUUAAGUGUCAAGAAAGAGGAAAGAUGGCGCUUCUCUAAAGCGUCAUCUUCCGGCCUGUCAUUGUAUAUAUUAGCCAACAAUGACGCUUUUAAGAAGCGUCAUCUUUAAUUAUGCUUUCAACGACACUUAAGAAAGUGUCAUCUUUGAAUAAUAUUAACAAUGACACUCGUAUAAGUGUCAUAAUUGAAUACUUUCUAUUGAAAUAUUUUUUGCAAAAUUACCAAUUUUGACAGUUAUAAGAACGUCAUCUUUGAAUAGUUUUAUCAAUGACACUUCUAAAAGCAUCAUCUUUGAACACUUGCUAUUAAAAAUAAUAUUUAUAUCCUCUUAUUAAAAUAAAAAAUUUCCUGUAUAAUUAAAUAAAAAACAAUUAAAAGUCAUAAACCGAAUUCAAAUUUUACUAAUUAAAAUAUCUUCAAAUAUGGAUGUAAAAUAACUUAGUUCGAAUAAUUAAUAUAACUAGUUUAUAUACAAUAAUUACAUCCAAAUUUAUUAAUCAUAUCAAAAUAUUUCAACAACAAUUUCUAAGUCCUUCAAUAAAAGAACAAACAUGAAUGCAAUGACGAUUAAGAUAAACCAUAAUCUACAAAAACCUAAUUUAACCUCCUAAUGAGUUCAUUGAUCAAUGUAAUCUUCGUGGUUUUUGUCAUCAUGCCUUCAUCAAUAUAAUGAUUUCUCUUCUUUCAACAAACUAGUUUCCUUUGCAACCUGUAACAAAGAUAGGAAGGAUAGAAAAUUUCUAAAUUAUACAUGCAAUGACCAAUAAGUAUAAUUGAAAUUAUGACUUUUUACAAAUGUUUAAGAAAAAUAUAAUAGUUAGAACCAAUAUCAAAUGAAAUGUGGAAAAAAAUUGACUCACCUUGGCAUUGAAUUUUAGUUGAAAGCCAAAGAACCCAUUUUCAAUAAUGCAGUCAAGGGAAGAGCAACAAUUGAACCUAAGGAAUCAAUGAUGAUACAUGCAUCAAUAUAGAUCUCAUUAACAAUUAAUCAAAUAGCCUAAAAUUGAUAACCUAAGGAAAUAGAUAAAAUGAAUCAUCCCAUACUAUUCAAGUCAACAUACCUUUCAACCCGCUGCAUACAUUCAAAACAAUAGAAAGAUCUCAAUGCAUAUACCUUAGUAUGGAUUUUAAAUCCUGCUGGAGGUUGCAAAGAAGGAAGGCUAUUGGAGAGUCACUACUAGGCCAAAUCAAGAUAAUUCACUAUUGCUCAAAACAUACAUGACAAUGAUUUUAUUUUUACAUUAAGCAAUCGUGUUGACAACAUUUUCCAUCUAGCACUCCCAACCUAAACUUCAUCCAUCAUCAUUUCCAAGGUUUAUUAGUACCCAUGAGCAAGCAAUUGUUUUGAUUUUAUGUAUUACUAAUUGAUAUUGUAAGUUGUUAUUAGUAUAGCAAAUGAACUUUUGCUUAUUUACUUCUCCUUAUACUAACCAUGGUAAAGGCAUUGGAUAUGGUCCUCAUUUACAAAUAUGGGGUGAAGAAGACAUGCUCUAUGAGGCACAAGUGUAAAUGUUGUGAAGGGUCUCCUCUCCUAUAUUUGCCUGUCCUCGAGCGUCCAUCAGAUUAUACCACAUCAAGGUAUGAUGGAAUACCAUCACCUCAAUAUUAAGGCAAUGGCGCAAUCAUAAUUUAAUUUUUGUUUUCAUAUUAUUUCAUAUUUCUUUUUCACACUACAAAGAAGAAAAACUCCUUUUUCUUUAGAGGAAGAAAAAGUAAGAAAGUAGUAUAAUAAUAUUUUGAUAAUACAUUUUUCAAUUUUUUUUAAAAAAAUAAUUCUAGACUUAUCAUUUAUAAAAAAAAAAUUUAAUAUUUUUACAUUUUAGAAAAGAAAAGAACUAAAAAAAGGAAAAACAAAAUGAAACUUCUCACUGUUUUUGUUUUUAUAAUGAAAGGAAUUUGUAAGAAAAUAAUUAUCAUUUUUGCUAUCAAAUAGGAUCAAAAUAAUGCUCAAAUUUUUAAAAUUUGUGAAUGAUUAAAAGAAUGUCAACAAAUUUUAUACAUAACUUAACACUAAUUCUUGUUUUUAAAAAUAAAAAUAAAAAAAGAAGAAAAGAAAAUAGAAAAUGUAUCCAAACCAUCACUUAACUAUUAAAAUUCUAGUAGUGUACCUGGAGAAAGAUUGAAAACCAAAGGGUGAAAAACUUUAGGGAGACAGAAUCCAAGUAUCAGAAUUGGGCUUCCUGCAAGUUAGUUAACAAAAUUAUGGCAUUUAAUGAGUUGUGUUUCAAGAAGAAAAGAAAAUAUUAACUUUUUUAUUCAUAAAAAAAAUUAGGAACUUAAUUAUUUAUCAAAGCUAAUAACAUAAUUCAUAUAUGAUCCAAAACGGUAAGAAGUUAACAGUCUUCGUUAUCACUAACACCUUUAAGAAGCUCUAAAAUCAAAUCUAUAUUUGAUAAGUUAAAUUUUUUUUAAAAUAAAGAAUAAAAAUUAAAAUUAAAAAUUAAAGGUUUAUCUACAUUUUUCAAAUUCUUUGGAAAAUUUGAAAUUUAAUUUUUUUUUUUUAGUUUUAAAUUUUAUUUAAAACCUUAUAACUUUUUAAUUAACCAUUUAAUACAUUCAUAUCCUUAAAAAUUCCCAUGACAAAAAUAAUUGGAUUGGAUCAUUUAUUUUUUAUGUUGAGUCUGACAACUCUAAUUGCAACUUCUUUUAAUAUUCAUUCUCAAUAGAUUGAACAUCAUGAAAAAACAAUAGACCCAGGAAUCUAGCACUAUAUAAAGCUAUCUAAUUACAUCAUGACACUAUUGUUUGAACAUCUAGCAGGCAAAAACAUCUUAAUUUCAAUCUGUUUAAGAUACAUGGAAGAAUUCUUUUAAACAUUCAGCAAGUAGUGAAUUCAAUGAUCAAUUAUUUUAGACUUACAAAUUGAUAACCAACUUGAAAUUUAUGUUUUCUAUCCAAAACAUCAAAACCAUUAAUGCUCUAUUUAUCUCAAUAAAUAUUUUAUAAAAAGUAAAAAAUUUAUUCAUGGAUUUUGAAAUUUUAAUGAAGAAAUCCCAAAUUAGAAUCAACAUUCUUAAAUUGUUCAACAUAAUUCAACACUUAAUCCUUCUUUUGUUUCAUCUGUAUUACUUUUGUACUUUUCAAUUUCAUUUGUUCUAGGUUUUUCCCUAAUUAUACUUAUAUUUGUUAAAUAAAGAGAGAAUAUAAGAGUCAAGUAUCAACAUUAUUUCAUCCUUAAGUUCCCAAAUUAUCCCUCAUUAUUCCUAUAUUUGUUAAAUAAAGAGAAAAUAUAAUAACCUAAAAUCAACACUAUUUCAUAUCUUAAGUUCCCAAAUCAUGAAAUUAUCACCAUGCCACAAACAUAACAAUGAGAAAAAAAAAAGGUCAUAAAAGUUCCAACAUGGUGCCAAACUCCUUGACAAAAACCAACCAAACUAAUUGCUUUGAUCACUAUGAAGGAAAAUAUGAUAAUCCUUUUUGCCCAUGUAUGUAUGCAAUGGCCUGUUCUAGAGAUAGGAUUUCAAUCACACGUAUACCAAAGCACCGUAGGUUACUUGAAUCAAUAAUAUCUCAAAAGUCAACAAGAGCACAUGGUACAACUAUCAAGAAUAAAUAGUGAUAGGAUACAUAAAACAAAAAACUAUAACUUACCUGGUGUAAUUCUUUGAGCUCACCCUCAACAAAUCUAAAGUUAUCUGUGGGGAUGUACCACAGACAUCUCUAAAGGCAACUCCACUAUUGGGGCAUAAUACAUUAGUAAGAAUAAAAAAAUUAAUGAAGUAAAUAAAAAUGGGUAAUUAUUGAUCUGAUACCUUCUCUAUCAUGGCAUCAAUCUCUAUAUUGGGUGGGAAUUGGUGCAGCAAAAGAUAAACCCUGCAAAUAUAGACACCAAACAAUCUCAGCAUAAAAGAAAACAAAAUUCCAAAGAUAAACAAAUUGAUUCGAUACCUUUUUGAGUCCCUCUCUGCAACAGCUAUUAAGUGAGAUUUUGAUGCUCUGUUCACUCACGAUAUGAGCAACCCAACUAAAACAAUCCAAGGUCAUUGCACAGAAUUUGAUCAUUGGCAUGUUUCAAAAUAUUUUACCCAUUCCAAAUAUCAAUUAAAUUUAUGAACAAUUUUAAAAAUCUAUGAAUUCUAAAUAAUUUAUAAACAACACAAUUUAAAAAAAUAUGAAAAUUUUCAACUUGAUUCCACAAAAAUGUAAAAACUCCUUCCAAAUAGCCUAACCUAGGAAGUCACGAAUUCAUAUCCACAGUCCCAAUUUCUAAAAUCUUCCAAUUAAAAAAUUUUCACUUUUGCCAAAACUUUUUGCUUUUCACUGUAGGAUGUCUAAUUUCCACGUCUAUGCUGCCUUUAGCGACUACCAUUACCAUAAAACUUCCUCUUUUUCCAACCCAUAGACUCGUCUCUUUAGUUGGCCAUUUGAUCUUUACUACAUUGACCCCAAAAUAAAUCUUCUUCACAAAUACAGAAAACAUUACCUAAAUAUAAAGAAUUCAGCUGACCAGGCAAAUUGUGAACCCAUACACAAUAUUAAAAAUUCCAGUAUCAAACAUCUGCAAAAGACUACUUACCAAGCACCUGUUGAGCAAUCAACUGCUUUCUGGGAUCCUGCUCCAACAUUUGCCUAACAAGGCUCUUUGCAUUAUCAGAAAUUUGCGGCCAAGGUUCCCUCUUAAAAUCAAUCACCCCCUUAAAAUUGUCAAAGCAACACCCUGUUCCGUCUCUACAAAAAGAGCCAAAAACAAAAAAGCAAACAACUUCAUAAUCAAAUCUAACAAUUACAGACAUACUCACAAUUCAAGAACCACAAAGUACCUGCCCAAAAUGGAGGAACUCCACAUAGCAAAAUAUAAAGAAUCACUCCAGCACUCCAUAUAUCCACUUCAGGCCUAUAAUUUCGCUUCAAAACCUCAGGCGCCAUAUAGUACGAACUCCCCACAAUCUCUGAGAACCUUACACCUACGUCCAACAAAACCUUAAAUUUCUGUAAACAACCAAAAACCCAUAAACAAAGAAGCAAAAUGAAUCCACGCCAAAACCAUACCAGGCCGGAAAACACUGAUAGCCCAAAACCUCCACAUCUUGAUAGCUUCAAAAUCAGAUUUGCAUGGGUCUUGAAAUGAAAACCUCCACAUCUUCUAGUAGCUUCACAAAAGAGACGAUCUUGAAAAUGAAAACCCCAAAUAGCUCUAGUUUAUGACCAACUACAUGUUGUCACUUCACAAUGUGAUGAAUCACCUCGAAAUUGCCUUCUGCCUCACUUCUUAUUUGUUCCCAUUCAAAUCUAUGAGAUUCCAUUCCCUAAAAGUCAAGAGAAAUAUAGAUCGAGGUGUGAAUAUGGUACUCUUCCAAGGGUUACGGUUUUUGAUAGGGAGUGAAGGCUUAGGGUUUUUUAUGCUCUGAGGGUUUGGGUCUUCUAAGGGCUUUUAUACUCACAUCUAGUAUGAUGUGUAAGAAAAUGGCCAAGGUUUAUCGGGUUGUGAAAUAUGCUUUUUGCGGGUGCAAAUAAUUCAAUGAAGGGAAUAAAAAAUAUUAAAUAUUGUGUUAAAAAGUACAUGACGCUUGUGAGAAGUGCCAAGGAUGCGUGUUGAUGUUUGUACACAAUGACACUUAAAAAUAGGCGCCAACGUCUUUAAGCAUAUUCAGCUCAAUGACAGUUAUAAAGCGCCAUAGUAAACGAGCGCCAACAUUUGUGUAUAUCCAACUAAAUAAUGACGCUUUUUUAAAAGCGCCAAGGAUAUAAGCGUCCUUGUUUUGGUUUUUUGUAGUAGUGUUUUUAGAUGCUUAGUUGCCUAGAAUGUCUAUGAAAAUUGAGAAAAUUGGAAAUUUAGCAUCCUAAAUUAGUGUUAAAGGAAAUUAUUUAUAAAAAUAAUAAAUCAAACAAACAACUUUUUAUUUCUCUACUAUUUUCCUAGCAACCAAACAUAGUUUAAUGAAAACACAAAAAGAUAGAGUUUUCUUCUAUUCAUGCCCCCCAUGGGUUAUUAUAUUCCUUUCUAAUGAGUUUGGGGCAUCUAACUCUAAUGGGUUAGGGCAUUAGAUCCUAUGUUCCCUUACAAAUUUGUAAUCACCAUCCAAUCCUAGGAGAAAGAGGGAUAUGAUGAAGGUCAUUCGUCUAUCUUCUCUAUGAUGGUGUUGUAGUGUCCUUUGGUGGGUUUAGGGCUAUGAAACAGUGCCCCCAUUUUAAUCAAAGGUAUGUUUGGAUUUAAUCAGACUUAGUUAAUGUUUGGUUUUAAUGUUUUAGAGAUCAUGUUGCCAUGUCAACAACCAAUCAACUAUUAUAUGAAAUAUGAUGUGACAUCUUAUAAGGGUAUUUUUUACCCUUACUUUUUAUAGCCUUCACAUCAAUUAUGGAACUUAUGUGAAUGUUGGACUAAUUAUUACCCCCUUCUAUCCCUAAAUUAUAUGAUAUUCCAUUAAUUUUGGUUUAAUAUAGGUCGUGAUUUGCUUUCAACACCCUCUUACGAAAUCUAUGGAAUAUCAUGAUAAUACACUAAAAUUCUUUUCCAAUGGUUGGGCAUUCAAUCAUCAAGCAUCCAUUGUUUUAUAUGAUGAGAAACCAUUCUCUUAUAUUUAUGGAUGACACGGUACGGUGAUGCACCAAAGAGGACAAGAGCAUCCUCCUAAUAACGGUGAUGCACCAAAGAGGACAAGAACAUCCUCCUAAUAGCACGUAGUUCAACACUAGAGCAAUUAAUACAAAAAGAAAACAUCCUAAACUACAAAUAAUUUAGGAUUCCAGACACGAACUAUCUAGAGAUUUAUAUACAGAAGAGAACAAUUCUAGUAAUAAUUUAACCAACUAAUAUUAAACAAAGUAGCUGAUGGAGAUGGGUCCAAAUCACAACAUUUUAAUUUCCAAGGCACGUAGAUAAGCGUAUUGAAGGUUUUCCUUGGCAGUAUUAUUUGAGAUCGGUGUGUUAUGGGAGGGAAUUUUUCCUAUAUAAACCCCUGCUGGAAUCUCCGAGUGUAUCAAUCUGCUUACUCAUUUAAUUCAUCAAUCCCUACUGCGUCCAAUAUCAUGGCUUCUGUCAACCAGUACCAAUACAUCUGUUUAGCUUUGCUCUUCGUUUUGGCUGCUUGGGCAUCUCAAGCCACAGCCCGCAACCUUCAUGAAGCAUCAAUGUAUGAGAGACAUGAGGAUUGGAUGGUUCAGUAUGGGCGUGAAUAUAAGGAUGCUGAUGAGAAAAGCAAGCGCUACAAGAUAUUCAAGGAUAAUGUGGCACGUAUAGAAUCUUUCAACAAGGCCAUGGACAAAUCUUACAAGCUGAGCAUCAAUGAAUUUGCAGAUCUCACCAACGAAGAGUUCAGAGCCUCACGAAAUAGAUUCAAGGCCCACAUCUGUUCCACCGAGGCAACUUCUUUCAAAUACGAGAAUGUUACUGCAGUGCCAUCUACUGUCGAUUGGAGAAAGAAAGGAGCUGUUACACCCAUCAAGGACCAAGGCCAAUGCGGUAAGUGAAAAUAUUUUUGUAGUAUGGUUUGAAAUUGAUGUUUUUCUCACUCUUUUACGAUAAAAAAAUGCAGGGUCUUGCUGGGCAUUUUCGGCUGUGGCAGCUAUGGAAGGAAUUACUCAGCUAUCGACUGGGAAGCUAAUCUCUCUUUCUGAACAAGAGUUGGUUGACUGUGACACUAGUGGGGAGGAUCAAGGCUGCAGUGGUGGUCUAAUGGAUGAUGCCUUCAAAUUCAUCGAACAAAAUCAUGGUCUCACCACCGAAGCUAACUACCCCUACGCGGGAACUGAUGGCACCUGCAACCGCAAGAAGGCAGCCCACCCUGCAGCCAAGAUAAAUGGGUAUGAAGAUGUGCCAGCCAACAAUGAGAAGGCUUUACAAAAGGCUGUUGCCCACCAACCUAUUGCCGUUGCCAUUGAUGCUGGGGGGUCUGAGUUCCAAUUCUAUUCAAGUGGUGUGUUUACAGGACAGUGUGGCACAGAACUAGACCAUGGUGUUUCUGCGGUUGGUUACGGAACCAGCGAUGAUGGGAUGAAGUAUUGGCUGGUGAAGAACUCAUGGGGCACAGGAUGGGGCGAAGAAGGUUACAUACGGAUGCAGAGGGAUGUGACUGCAAAGGAAGGUCUCUGUGGAAUUGCAAUGCAAGCAUCUUACCCCACCGCAUAAAAUUAAUUGAAAAAAGGCAAUCCCUACUAUCCUGUGGUUAAUCAAUUACAAGAUAUGUUGCGCUGAUAAUUUCUAGUCUAUAGUUGUGUAUAAUUCAGCAAGGAUGCCCUGUGGUCAAAAGAGUCCAUAAAAUUAUGUAUGGACCAUAAUAUAUAAAUAUGAACGUACACCUUCAGUUGGUUCCUUCCUAUUUCUGUGUUUUGAAUGAGAAAUGACAGGGGAUCUCAUACUAAAAGUAUCAGACUAAAUAAAGAAAAAGAGUAAGGAUGGAAAAUGACACCCCAAA
rnacentral:lncRNA from 1 species